GCAACAUGUUAAACCAGCCGUCACCACACAUCUCCUGCAUUGUAACCCGGAGCUCCAUGUAUCUCAUAGUCAGAUAUCGUUGUCUGCAACCUCACAAUGAACCGGUCUUCCAACACCACUACUCUGCGUCCUUGUCUGGAGGAGCACAGCUUAAGUUACCUAGGUGGAGUGUGGCAGCAUUGUUACAAACUCGAAUGCACCUGGAUACGUUUCACUCAGAUGUUCCGUGAUCUCCUUCACAAACCUUCCAUGACCUGAACUUCCUCUAUUUAGAAGAGGCGCUGACAGAAAAAAAGCUAAAUGUACAAUAUUUCUUUUUUUCAACAAUUUGGGAGGCCUGUUCUUGUAUAUUUCAGCGGCAAUCACACAGCAGCUUCUUCAGGCCAUGUUUUUGAUUGGUUCAAAUUGGGGCACGGAGAUGUCAACAGCUGUUGGGGCCAUCACUGGCCAAUUAGAAGCAUUGUUUACUGAAAAAAAUAAAACCUUUUCUUGCCACUCUAAACCAACCAACAACUUAUUCCCUUAUUCACUUGUUGGCAAUUAAAAAACAAGUUCCGCUUCAACAUAGAGAACUGGAUGCUGUGCCUUAAUAAGUCUUUGCAUCUUCAUGCAAACACCUUCUAAAAUCAUGGUAAUUCUGCUGGCCUAUAAGAGGUCAGAACCCCCGUAGCCGUAUGAGUUGCUUAAGAAAGAGACUUUCAGAUCACUAACACUAUUAUUUGUCUGCAUGCUCCCUUGAUAUCACCUAAACAGCAUACCUCCAGUAAUUGCAACACGAUUAUUUGAACUACCAACGUUGGAACAUGUGACGAUCUUGCUUUUUUUUUUUUUAAACCCCUCUUCCUCCGAGCUCACGAUUUCCGUAACGACAAAUGCUAUGAAUACUAAUUAAACGGCUGCAUGUGGGUGCAUGGAUCAUUGCUCUCCGCUGAUUAAGGAACGAUAGGAGAGACUAUAUAAAUCAAAGACAACCUACCCAUCUAAUUAGCUGGCCCAGCCAUUAAAUCCACUAACAAGCAACCGAGGUGAUUCUUCCCCACAUAAUCUUCCCCGUGAUUACAUGAUGCCGAUACGACCGUCGAACUCUCUGUUCGUCUCUGUUUUCACGGUAAAAAAUGAAAAGCGGACCGUGAAAGUAGGGUUGGACAUAAACGACUACCCCAUCUCUGAGUAAGGGAAUGCAGUAGGUAGAUGAGUGGAGGAGUCGUUACAAUUUUGUGCUCGAACAACAGCCGUAAUUCAUACUUUUUUCUUCACUUGUUCCCAAGGGCAUACAGGGGACCUGGUCAUUUCAAUUACAGAAUUGUGUUACGCAGUUUUGACCAAUUUUAAUAUUCCUUUUAUAUCAAUUAAUUAUCCCUGACAGCAACAUUAUAUCAAGGUAUAAACCGUGAGUAUGAAGGACGGACCAUUACCUUAUGUUUUUAAUUACUUCCCCAUCAUUUAUGUGUCGCACCCCCCCCCCCCCCCCCCCCCCCAAUUUGCACAUCAGCUAGCUAACCCACAACGCGGACAAACUACAGCUCAGCUCAAAACCGUGGCAGCUAGCAGGCUAGCGGCUAGUCCAGGACUUGCCCUCCAGGCACAUCGACUCCAGGGUUAAUGGCUAACAUGCUAACAUACUGUCUCUCACAGAGGGGAAGAUGCUCAUCAGUGUGGUUGUUAUUUUUGUA